ACAUACCUAUUUUCCUCGCUGCUAUUAAUUGCCAAUUUGAAACUAGAGCAAAUAUCAGACCAGCACACAAGACUUUCAAGCAAUUCCUUGUUUUUGCAAACAACAUCAUCAAAUUUAUAAUAAAGUAAAAUCAGAACAAAGCAAGUACGUCUCCUCCCAUAAAAACAUUCAUAUUUUAAAGUAUAUUUCAAACAGAAAACGGAAGAAUAGGAAGAUGUUUUUCCAAGGAAAAUUAGCAAACGCAUCUCGAUCUCAUUUCCGAGAAAUAUUUGCAUUUUCAUUAUUUACAUCCGCAAUAUGCCAUGGUUCUUUUACAGCUAAUUUUCAAGAAAAUAUUGGAAGGAGCUUGAUCAUAACAUAGCAAUAUUUCUGCCUUUCCUUUGUCAAAAUAUUUUUAUUUCAACAGAAGAACAUAUUGACGAUCAUAUUCAACGAGUGUAUUCA